GACGAACGCUGGCGGCACGCUUAACACAUGCAAGUCGAACGAGAGAAGAGAAGCUUGCUUUUCUGAUCUAGUGGCGGACGGGUGAGUAACACGUGAGCAAUCUGCCUUUCAGAGGGGGAUACCGAUUGGAAACGAUCGUUAAUACCGCAUAACAUAAUUGAACCGCAUGAUUUGAUUAUCAAAGAUUUAUCGCUGAAAGAUGAGCUCGCGUCUGAUUAGCUAGUUGGUAAGGUAACGGCUUACCAAGGCGACGAUCAGUAGCCGGACUGAGAGGUUGAUCGGCCACAUUGGGACUGAGACACGGCCCAGACUCCUACGGGAGGCAGCAGUGGGGAAUAUUGCACAAUGGAGGAAACUCUGAUGCAGCGAUGCCGCGUGAGGGAAGAAGGUUUUAGGAUUGUAAACCUCUGUUUUCAGGGACGAAAAAAGACGGUACCUGAGGAGGAAGCUCCGGCUAACUACGUGCCAGCAGCCGCGGUAAUACGUAGGGAGCGAGCGUUGUCCGGAAUUACUGGGUGUAAAGGGAGCGUAGGCGGGAUCGCAAGUCAGAUGUGAAAACUAUGGGCUUAACCCAUAAACUGCAUUUGAAACUGUGGUUCUUGAGUGAAGUAGAGGUAAGCGGAAUUCCUAGUGUAGCGGUGAAAUGCGUAGAUAUUAGGAGGAACAUCAGUGGCGAAGGCGGCUUACUGGGCUUUAACUGACGCUGAGGCUCGAAAGCGUGGGGAGCAAACAGAAGUAGAUACCCUGGUAGUCCACGCCGUA
rnacentral:rRNA from 1 species